rnacentral:rRNA from 1 species
AGUUCGGAUUAUAGUCUGCAACUCGACUACAUGAAGCUGGAAUCGCUAGUAAUCGCGAAUCAGAAUGUCGCGGUGAAUACGUUCCCGGGUCUUGUACACACCGCCCGUCACACCAUGGGAGUUGGGGAUGCCCGAAGCCGGUGACCUAACCGAAAGGGAGGAGCCGUCGAAGGCAGGCUUGAUAACUGGGGUGAAGUCGUAACAAGGUACC